AACGAACGCUGGCGGCGUGCCUAACACAUGCAAGUCGAGCGCGAAAGUCCCUUCGGGGGCGAGUAGAGCGGCGGACGGGUGAGUAAUACAUAGGUAAUCUACCUUCGAGCUUGGGAUAACCCCGCGAAAGUGGGGCUAAUACCGGAUAAGACCACGUAACCAUGUUACGGGGUAAAAGGUUGCUUAUUUUUUAAAUGAGCUAUCACUUGAGUAUGAGCCUGUGGCCUAUCAGCUAGUUGGCGGGGUAAGAGCCCACUAAGGAAAUGACGGGUAGCUGGUCUGAGAGGACGACCAGCCACACUGGGACUGAGCCACGGCCCAGACUCCGACGGGAGGCAGCAGUGGGGAAUAUUGGGCAAUGGGCGAAAGCCUGACCCAGCGACGCCGCGUGGGCGAUGAAGGCCUUCGGGUUGUAAAGCCCUGUCAUGCGGAAAGAACGACCCUGUGACGCAUACUCAUAGGGAGUGACGGUACCGCAGGAGGGAGCACCGGCUAACUCCGUGCCAGCCGCCGCCGUAAUAC
rnacentral:rRNA from 1 species